rnacentral:tRNA from 2 species
GUUAACGUAGCACCUGGUAUUGCAAAAGACCUAAACCCUUUCUAUAGAGAUUCAAAUCCUCUCGUUAAC